rnacentral:tRNA from 2 species
GGUAGCGUGGCCGAGUGGUCUAAGGCGCUGCAUUAAGGCUGCAGUCCCUUCGGGGGCGUGGGUUCGAAUCCCACCGCUGCCA